rnacentral:miRNA from 1 species
GCGUGACCACCACAACGCGGAUUUUUUUUUUUUUUUGUUUGUUUGUUUGUUUGUUUGUUUGGUAUUCUUUUAGGUGGUCAUUCGCUCUAUCACACACACGCACAAACAGACAGGCAGAAAGAAAGAGAGAGAGAGAGAGAGAAAC